GCCCCUGUGGCCUAGCGGUAUGGCGUUACCUUGGUAAGGUAAAGGUCGCGAGUUCAAUUCUCGCCAGGGGCUCCA
rnacentral:tRNA from 1 species